rnacentral:rRNA from 1 species
AAAUUUGAAAGCUGGUACCUUCGGUAUCCGCGUUGUAACCUCGAGACACGUUUUCCGUGCGGCGCUAUGGACAAGUUCCUUGGAACAGGACAUCGUAGAGGGUGAAAAUCCCGUACUUGCCAUGGAUGUACCGUGCUUUGCGAUACGUGCUCUAAGAGUCGAGUUGUUUGGGAUUGCAGCUCAAAAUGGGUGGUAGACUCCAUCUAAAGCUAAAUAUCGGGGAGAGACCGAUAGCGAACAAGUACCGUGAGGGAAAGAUGAAAAGCACUUUGGAAAGAGAGUUAAAAGUACGUGAAAUUGUCGAAAGGGAAGCGCUUGAAGUCAGCCAUGCCGCUCAGGACUCAGCCUGGCUUUUGCUUGGUGUAUUUCCUGGGUAGCAAGUCAGCAUUGGUUUGGAUCGUCGGAGAAGCAUAGUCGGAAUGUGGCGCCCUCGGGCGUGUUAUAGCCUUCUAUUGGAUACGACGAUCUAGACCAAGGAACGCAGCGCGCCUUAUGGCGGGUCUUCGGACACCUUCGCGCUUAGGAUGCUGGCGUAAUGGCUUUAAGUGGCCCGUCUUGAA